rnacentral:rRNA from 1 species
AACGAACGCUGGCGGCAGGCUUAACACAUGCAAGUCGAGCGCCCCGCAAGGGGAGCGGCAGACGGGUGAGUAACGCGUGGGAAUCUACCCAUCCCUACGGAAUAACGCAUGGAAACGUGUGCUAAUACCGUAUACGCCCUUUGGGGGAAAGAUUUAUCGGGGAUGGAUGAGCGCGCGUUGGAUUAGCUAGUUGGUGGGGUAAAGGCCUACCACGGCGACGAUCCAUAGCUGGGCUGAGAGGAUGAUCAGCCACAUUGGGACUGAGACACGGCCCAAACUCCGACGGGGGGCAGCGGUGGGGAAUAUUGGACAAUGGGCGCAAGCCUGAUCCAGCCAUGCCGCGUGAGUGAUGAAGGCCCUAGGGUUGUAAAGCUCUUUCACCGGUGAAGAUAAUGACGGUAACCGGAGAAGAAGCCCCGGCUAACUUCGUGCCAGCCGCCGCAGUAAAAC